AUGAGCCGCCUCAGUUAUGUGGAAACUGAUCUCACCUCAUUUGAAAAGGCAAGAACAGGUGACAAGCAUACACCAGGUGAAGCAAGGCAGAGGAAGGGAGGGGAGCAGCGUGGAGCCCACAGCACAGGAGAGAGGUACAGGGCCGACCUCACCUGCACACUCCAGAGGCAUCCUCUGCUCCCGCACCCUCAUGUCCCCGCUGUGGAUGAAGUCACGCAGAGACGGAGAGAGCUGCCCUUUUGGAGCCGAGAGCCACGCUUACUCCUAAAUUCUCUUGCAACUAAAGAAAGCAAUUUUACCACUACUGUGAUGAUUCAUUUUAUUUGUCAACUUGGUUGGGCCAUGAUGCCCAGAUACGUGGUCAAACAUUGUUCUGGAUGUUUCCGUGAAGGUGUUUUUGGAUGAGAUUUCCCUGACGUAGAUGAGCCCCACCCAAUCUGUUGAAGGCUGAAGAGCACAGAAAGCUGACCUCCCUACAAGCAAGAAAGAAUUAGGCAGCAAACAGCCCUCAGACGUCAUCUGCAAUGCCAGCUCUUUCUGGUUCUGCACCAAACUGUCUUUAGACCCAAACUACAGCUUUUCCCUGAGUCUGCAGACUGCUUACCACCUCCAUGGAUUUUGGACUCACCAAGCUUCCACAGUCCCGUGAGCAAAUUCCUUAGAAUAUGCACCUAUCUCUCUGCUAUUGUUUUGUUUCUCUGGGAACACCAACUAAUGCAAUCACCCUUAUCACAAACUCUGUAGAGGAUUCUCCAUGAGUCUCACGUUUCUGCACAUCCUCUGAGUAGAAGCAGUGAGAGUUUUUGUCCUGGAGCAUCUUGUCAAAGAUGGUUAAACAGUGAACAGCUUUGGAAGACAGAGACACUGUGACCCUCAAGGAAAAGGGCAGGUAUGCCUUCUGCUUCUAGUGAAAGGCAGCCUCCCAUCCCCCAAGUUCAGGUUCAUAUCCUGAAAUGCGAUCCACUGCAUGUGCAAAUGUCACCGGACCCUCCUUGAGUCACCCAGUGGGGCUGGGGAGUAGGAGAGCCAGAAUUGCUGAUACUCUGCCUACUGCUUUGCUUGAGUCAUAAGUCCUUUUGGUCUUUGACCCAGAGUACUCAUGUCUUCUGUUAGCAUUCAUGAAACUGGGACAGGGUAGCUUGGAAGCUUACAAAUAGGGUGAAACAUUAGAUCGUUCUCAGUUCCUGAUGGUCUACCUAAACUCUGCCAAAGGUUCUAUGAUCAAAUCUCAUCAAAUACAUUGUGUGGUGUCUUGAAAAUACAUCCACAAAUCCUUUGACAAUCCUGCUUUGAAAAGUACGUUUCAAUGCUGCUUCCCUGAGUGUCUGCUAGACUUUGUAACUUGCUUCUAAAGCAAUAGAAUGUGGCAGAAGUAUCCCUUGAAGGGAGGCCAAAGUGGAAGGAUCCCUUGAAGCCAGAAGUUUCAGACCAGCCUGGAAAACAGAGCAAGAACCUGUCUCUACAAACAAAAGUUUAAAAUUGGCCAGGUGUGGUGGCUCAUGCCUGUAACCCCAGAACUUUGGGAGGCUGAGGUGGGCAGAUCAUUCGAGGUCAGGAGUUCGAGACCAGCCUGGCCAACAUGGUGAAAUGCCAUCUCCACUAAAAAUAGAAAAAUUAGCUGGGUGUGGUGGUGGGCUCCUGUAAUCCCAGCUACUUGGGAGGCUGAGGCAGGAGAACUGUUUGAACCCGGGAGGUGGAGGUUGCAGUGAGCCAAGAUAGUGUCUUUGUACUCCAGCCUGGGCGACAGAGUCAGACUCUAUAAAAAAAAAGUUAAAAAUUAGCUGGGCUCAGUAGCAGGUACCUGUAGUCCCAGCUACUCAAGUGGCUGAGGCAAGAUGAUAGCUUGGGCCCAGGAGUUCAAGACUGCAGUGAGUCACGAUUGCACCACUGCACUCUAGCCUGGGUGACACAGUGAGAUUCUGUGUCUAAAAACAGACAAGGGCAGAAAACAAGAAAACACACACGAGCCAUUCUGUGGAUGUUUUCAAAUAAGCAACUAUUUACUCUUUCUGUCGCUGUGUGUGACAAUAGCAAGGAAGAUCCUAUUUACUCUGGGGCUUCUUACCUGAGCAAUUAUACAGUGAAAGGAGCAAAAAAGAAAAAUAAAAUAAAACCCUGAACACCA
rnacentral:lncRNA from 13 species